GACCAGUAGUCAUAUAGCACAGACUUACAUGUUCUAUUGGCCACAGAGACUCAAAACUCUGAAGCAUUUAUCAUAUCACCUGUUCACAACUGAAGACUUUUAGAGCUUAUCUCUCAAAUAGACAGUCGUUAGGGCAGGACUGCGCAGCCUGGGAAUGAGUGUAAGUGCAUGUGCACCACAUGCUCUUCCAUGCCCAUUUAGUAGCUAGAGCAUCGUGGGAAAAGGUAGGCUAAAUACGCCACCAGCUGGUGCUAUCAUGACCAUGUGAAUGGAUAUAAGCAAUUUGACUCCUGAGUUCCUGCAUGCCAAGAACAAUCACAGCCCAUUCCUAAAUCCUGUCGUCUGCUACCUGAGCCCAAGAGUGAUAUAUAAAACAUUAU
rnacentral:lncRNA from 1 species